GACGAACGCUGGCGGCGUGCUUAACACAUGCAAGUCGAACGGCAAGGCCCUGCUAUUGUGGGGUGCUCGAGUGGCGAACGGGUGCGUAACACGUGAGUAACCUGCCCUUGUCUUUGGGAUAACUUCAGGAAACUGGGGCUAAUACCAGAUAGGAGCUCCUGCUGCAUGGUGGGGGUUGGAAAGUUUCGGCGGUUGGGGAUGGACUCGCGGCUUAUCAGCUUGUUGGUGGGGUAGUGGCUUACCAAGGCUUUGACGGGUCGCCGGCCUGAGAGGGUGACCGGCGACAUUGGGACUGAGAGACGGCCCAGACUCCUACGGGAGGCAGCAGGGGGGAAUAUUGCACAAUGGGCGGAAGCCUGAUGCAGCAACGCCGCGUGCGGGAUGACGGCCUUCGGGUUGUAAACCGCUGUCGCCUGUGACGAAGCGGGAGUGACGGUAAUGGGUAAAGAAGCACCGGCUAACUACGUG
rnacentral:rRNA from 1 species